rnacentral:tRNA from 1 species
GGUUCCAUAGUGUAGCUGUUAGCACGUCUGCUUUAUAUGCAGAAGGUCCUGGGUUUGUGCCCCAGUGGAGCCA